rnacentral:lncRNA from 10 species
UGACACUUGAACUCUUUUCUUCCUAGCUUUUAGGAUAUACAGUGGUUCCCCCUUAUCCAUAGGGGAUACAUUCUAAGGCUCCAAGUGGAUACCUGAAACCAUGGAUAAUACUGAACCCUAUGCAUACUAUGUUUUUUCCUAUACAUACAUACCUAUGAUAAAGUUUAAUGUAUAAAUUAGGCACAGAAAGAGAUCAACAACAAUAAAUAAUAGCAAAAUAGAACAAUUAUAACAAUAUGCCAGCAUCACUACUCUUGCACUUUGGAGCCACUAUGAAGUAAAACAAGGGUAACCUGAGCACUAGUGCUGUGAUAACUCAACCGUGGAUCUGAUAACUGAGACUGCUACUGAGUGACUCACAAGUGGGUAGUGUAGACAGCACAGAUACACUGAACCAAGGAUGAUUCACAUCCUAGGCGGGAUGGAGUGGGAUGGUGUGAGAUUUCAUCACACUACUCAGAAUGGUGAGCAAUGUAAAACUUAUGAGUUCUUUAUUUCUGGAAUUUUCCAUUUGAUAUUUUUGGACCAUGGUUGACCGCAGGUAACAGAAACCACAGAAAUCAAAACCGUGGAUAAGAGGAGACUACAGAAAGAUUUCUCCUUCUGGAGUACAUGAAUCAAAUUGCAUUGAAUCAAAAGUUUUGUGAAGAUUUGAGAUGAGAAUGAGAGCCAAAUAAGCCAUAUCAUAAGAAGCUGUGAUCAGAAAUAAAAUGAGGACAAUGCUUACUGUGGCUUUCAAGGCAGGAGAAAGCACACCCGAGGGGGUCGUGUCCCACACUAGGCAGAUCUAAUGGUGCCACAAAAGACAGGUGUUUUGUCAGAUUUCAGCCACACACUUUCACACCUGCAACGCAUUAACUACCGCAGCAAUGUUAAUGAAGACCAGGUGCCUGUUCUCCAGCAUAAAUGAGGAACUGGCAGGAGAUUUGCUGUUUGCUACCUGACGUCUACCCCUGAGUCUCUGAACCCCGUCCUUCUGGUUGAAGGGGAAGGUGUAGUGAUGUACAAAAAAUGAUUCCUGUUGGACAUUCAACACGAUACUCCAAUGUACUUUGAACACGUCAUGUUCUGUGAAGGUAAAAAUGCUGGAAUGUAACUCCAUUUGCUGAAAUUCCGUCUUGGAUAGAAGUCCAAGUCUCAUCAAUUCAUUUUUAAUUUUAUGAUAAAACAUCCAAACAUAGUCAACGAGGUAAAAUUAGAAAAAUCUCCUUAAUCAUUCUCC